AGUCGAGGGGUAUUGUUCUUCGGAAUGAGAGACCGGCGCACGGGUGCGUAACGCGUAUGCAAUCUACCUUUCACAGAGGGAUAGCCCAGAGAAAUUUGGAUUAAUACCUCAUAGUAUAUAGAGUUGGCAUCAACAUUAUAUUAAAGUCACAACGGUGAAAGAUGAGCAUGCGUCCCAUUAGCUUGUUGGUAAGGUAACGGCUUACCAAGGCAACGAUGGGUAGGGGUCCUGAGAGGGAGAUCCCCCACACUGGUACUGAGACACGGACCAGACUCCUACGGGAGGCAGCAGUGAGGAAUAUUGGACAAUGGGCGCAAGCCUGAUCCAGCCAUGCCGCGUGCAGGAUGACGGUCCUAUGGAUUGUAAACUGCUUUUGCACAGGAAGAAACACUCGGACGUGUCCGAGCUUGACGGUACUGUGAGAAUAAGGAUCGGCUAACUCCGUGCCAGCAGCCGCGGUAAUACGGAGGAUCCAAGCGUUAUCCGGAAUCAUUGGGUUUAAAGGGUCCGUAGGCGGUUUGGUAAGUCAGUGGUGAAGGCCCAUCGCUCAACGGUGGAACGGCCAUUGAUACUGCUAGACUUGAAUUAUUAGGAAGUAACUAGAAUAUGUAGUGUAGCGGUGAAAUGCUUAGAGAUUACAUGGAAUACCAAUUGCGAAGGCAGGUUACUACUAAUGGAUUGACGCUGAUGGACGAAAGCGUGGGUAGCGAACAGGAUUAGAUACCCUGGUAGUCCACG
rnacentral:rRNA from 1 species